rnacentral:rRNA from 1 species
AUUGAACGCUGGCGGCAUGCCUUACACAUGCAAGUCGAACGGCAGCACGGGAGCAAUCCUGGUGGCGAGUGGCGAACGGGGUGAGUAAUAUAUCGGAACGUGCCCAGUCUGGGGGAUAACGUAGCGAAAGCUACGCUAAUACCGCAUACGAUCUAUGGAUGAAAGCGGGGGAUCGCAAGACCUCGUGCGAUUGGAGCGGCCGAUAUCAGAUUAGGUAGUUGGUGGGGUAAAGGGCUCACCAAGCCAACGAUCUGUAGCUGGUCUGAGAGGACGACCAGCCACACUGGAACUGAGACACGGUCCAGACUCCUACGGGAGGCAGCAGUGGGGAAUUUUUGGGACAAUGGACGCAAGUCUGAUCCAGCCAUUCCGCGUGCAGGAUGAAGGCCCUCGGGUUGUAAACUGC